CAGCCCUGUGUGUGCCUUGACAGCACCACGGCACAGCCCAGUGAGGCAUUCACCUCAAGGGAAGGCUCUGCAGAGUGUGAAAAACAUUGACGUAUAAAUGGCUCCUUAACUACAGUGAUGCCCUGCAAGGACACAUGGCAGUGGCGCAACCUUCUACCAACCUUAGUGUCGAGAGGCACCACUGUCAGGAUGGUCUCCAGGCGAAUGCCCCACUCAUUGUCCUGGUAGUAGCCAGGCUCUGGGACAGAAACACAUGCACAGGAUUUCAGCAAUUAGAUGAGGCGUUGCAGCCGUGUCCUCACCUUCGUGCACGCUGAGGUAGUGCCCAAUGCCGUGCCCUGUGCCAUGACGGUAGUCCAGCCCCACCUCAUAAAGCGGCCUUCGAGGAAGGAUACAAACACAUUGAAUGUCCACAUCAGAGUCCCCGGUGCCUUCAGGGAACACCAGGGUGGCGAGGUCAAUGGCGCCCAUCAGCACCCUGGUGUACGCCUCCACCUGCAUGGGCGUGGGUGUGCCGUAGUGCAGUGUGCGGGUCACGUCUGUGGUGCCAUCUGUGGGGAGAGAGGGAGGCUGUGAGGUGGUUCAGAUAGUAACAAGUACCUUCUGCUCCUCUUCUUUACCUCAUUACUCCAAUCCCUUCUCAUUUUUGUUCUUCCUCAUUAUCUGUCAGCCUUCCCCAUUCUUGGCCUGCAUGGUAUUUGUAACAGAGUGGUCUUGUUCCUCUUACUUUCAUUACUCUAAUAUUAACAUUACUGUACUCACAGAAUCAAGACUAAACAUCUGCUCCCUCAUUUCCUGCUUUCCCUCCCUCAUUUCCUGCUUCCUUAACCACCUCACCCAAAAUGUACACUACAUAUCCCUCCCUUUCUCCCUCCUGCCUCCACCAGCUCCCCUCUGUCCUCACCCUUGUACUGGCCGCCACUGUCCACCAGGUACAGAUUAUCAGCCGUAAUGUGCAGCUUGGUGUCCUGUCUAGGCCGGUAGUGGAUCACAGCGCCAUUUGGACCAAAGGCACUGAUAGUAUCAAAGGACACGCCCAUGAAGUUGCGCUGUUCCUGCCGCAGCUCAUACAGUCUGGUGGCUGCCUCUAUCUCAUCCCAGGCAUUCCCAGCCUCCACCUAGGAUAAGAUUUUUUUGUUGCAUUAAAUGGAAGAUUGUAGUGGGCAAGUUAAUACAGAGUUCCCUAACCCUCUGCAAGCUAAUAAAGGAUUACCUAAGAAA